UACGAAGGGGGGCUAGCGUUGUUCGGAUUUACUGGGCGUAAAGCGCGCGUAGGCGGCUUUGCAAGUCGAGUGUGAAAUCCCCAGGCUUAACCUGGGAACUGCAUUCGAGACUGCAUAGCUAGAGUAUGGGAGAGGGAAGUGGAAUUUCAGGUGUAGCGGUGAAAUGCGUAGAUAUCUGAAGGAACAUCAGUGGCGAAAAGCGACUUCCUGGACCAAUACUGACGCUCAUGUGCGAAAGCGUGGGGGAGCAAACAGG
rnacentral:rRNA from 1 species